UGCAAGUGAGAUUGAGAGGGACAUAAUAGCAAGAAUUGUCAAUUAUAUUUUGAAAUUUUCUUUGGGUUAUAUAACAUUAAUUGAAUGUAAUAUGCCAUGAUUAGGUGACUUCCUAAUUAUCAGUGAUGGUAUUAGCAAAGUGGUGUGAAGCUCAUGGAUCAAACAUGCUGCUCUUUUCUUCACACCUAUGUGUAUACUUUAAGGUAGCUGAGAGCUUGGAGCUGGUGAGAAGAAACUUAAUUGUAGUUGAUAAAGAGUGAAAACAUUUGUUGCUUGAUAACUGAGAUCCUCAAGCUAGUAAGAAGGACAUACUCAUUCUGGAUUCUGCAAAAGAGAGGAAAAAUAUUGAUCCUAUGGGCGCACCAUUUUCUGCUUCUGCUGGCAUAUAAUAUUCACAUGCAACAGCUACUCAUGUUUUUUUCAAUAAUCAUAUUAGUUUUUGAUGGUUUAUGUAUAUUGAUAAUGGCAUGGCACUAGAACGCUAUCUUGUUUUGGAAUAAUUUGUAUCAGUUUUGGAUAUCCCAAGUAGAUGGGCAUGUAUUAGAAUACUUAUUUUCUUUUAAUGUUGGCUUGGAUGAUUAUUAGGAAAUGCUCCCUUUUAACAUUUGAUGUA